rnacentral:lncRNA from 1 species
UCACAUAUUUCUCCCACUGACCUGCACACCGAAUUGGGACCAUCUUCCUUUGAAUGUUGAGAGGGGAACCUAGGUGAAGUAUGCCCUCGACUGUGAUUUCAUCAUUUUCAUGACAAUGUAACUCCUCCCGAGCCCUUGCAACCAACUCACUAAACAAUGGUUUCUCAUCAAAUAUGACAACCUCGCACUGCAUGCCAACAAACUUAACACAUCCAUAUUCAUCCCUUUCC